GAUGAACGCUGGCGGCGUGCCUAAUACAUGCAAGUCGAGCGAACGGACGAGAAGCUUGCUUCUCUGAUGUUAUCGGCGGACGGGUGAGUAACACGUGGAUAACCUACCUAUAAGACUGGGAUAACUUCGGGAAACCGGUGCUAAUACCGGAUGAUAUUUUGAACCGCAUGGUUCAAAAGUGAAAGACGGUCUUGCUGUCACUUAUAGAUGGAUCCGCGCUGCAUUAGCUAGUUGGUAAGGUAACGGCUUACCAAGGCAACGAUGCAUAGCCGACCUGAGAGGGUGAUCGGCCACACUGGAACUGAGACACGGUCCAGACUCCUACGGGAGGCAGCAGUAGGGAAUCUUCCGCAAUGGGCGAAAGCCUGACGGAGCAACGCCGCGUGAGUGAUGAAGGUCUUCGGAUCGUAAAACUCUGUUAUUAGGGAAGAACAUAUGUGUAAGUAACUGUGCACAUCUUGACGGUACCUAAUCAGAAAGCCACGGCUAACUACGUG
rnacentral:rRNA from 1 species